UCCAUUAUCAAGGGAGACGCAGACCAUUGAUAAUACAUGCUCUUCUGAGACACAAACACCUCGGGAGCCAACGACAAGAACAAUUGCUACACAGACGAAGCGGUGUAUUCAAACCGUCCCCAAGAAGGCCAUUAAAAGAACCGUGAAAGCCUCACAGGAGCCAACAACAUCAUAUGCUACACAGACGAAGCAGUUGAUUCAAACCGUCCCCAAGAAGGCCAUUAAAAGAUCUGUGAAAGCCUCCAUUACCCAAGUCCACACAGGCAGCAGCAGCAGCAGCAGCAGCAGCAGCAGCAGCAGCAGCAGCAGCUGUAACGUCAACAAUACACCCUACGACUACUGCGCCGAUGACAUUGAGAUAAAUUCAGGUUUUGACGCAACGUCCCCACAGAGGGUGAUACAACCUAUGGUUCAUACAUCAACAGAUCUAUGUUUAGAGGCCUGUGAUAUACCAUCCGAAGUGUUAGAGCUUUUGGCCAGCUUCUGUCCAGAGCCACUGGUUGAUGGGAGGGGUGUUGUCGAUAAUCAGCAUACAGAAUUGAGAGGUUUGCUUGGGGACAUACAGGUGUGCAUUAGUACGCUAGACACAUCACACAUUGACUUGGUAGCCGACCUAUCUGACCGUUACAUGUCUGCGGAUAAAACGGCGGCCGCCUUUAACACUACACUUUUAGAGGCCAUCAAUGCACUCGGUGUUGGUCUGUCGGCCGACAUACACAGGGAGUUUAGUGUGCUAAACACAUCACUCAAUACCUUAGGCUCCACCCUAUCUGCCCGUUACAGGGCUGAGGAUCAAGCAUCGGCCAUCGUGAGCACUACGCUUUUAGAGGCUAUCAGUGCCCUUGGGGUUGGUCUGUCUGACUACUACCGUGUCGAGAAUAAAACCAUUAUUG